rnacentral:rRNA from 1 species
CCUACGGGAGGCAGCAGUGAGGAAUAUUGGUCAAUGGACGCAAGUCUGAACCAGCCAUGCCGCGUGAAGGAUGACUGCUCUAUGGGUUGUAAACUUCUUUUGUACGAGGGUAAACUCAGAUACGCGUAGCUUUCUGAAAGUAUCGUACGAAUAAGGAUCGGCUAACUCCGUGCCAGCAGCCGCGGUAAUACGGAGGAUCCAAGCGUUAUCCGGAUUUAUUGGGUUUAAAGGGUGCGUAGGCGGUAUGUUAAGUUAGAGGUGAAAGUCCGAGGCUCAACGUGGAAAUUGCCUUUGAUACUGUUCGGCUAGAGAGUAGUAGAGGUAGGCGGAAUGUGUGGUGUAGCGGUGAAAUGCUUAGAGAUCACAAAGAACGCCGAUUGCGAAGGCAGCUUACCGAGCUACAACUGACGCUGAGGCACGAAAGCGUGGGGAGCAAACAGGAUUAGAUACCCGAGUAGUC